AAACUAUGCCAGCAGCUGAUCCGCUGCCCGUGCUCUGCUCUGCUCUGCUGCCGUUGCCGCCGCUAGUCCGAGUACGAGUACAGAGAUGAUCCCGACGCGGCUGCUCUGCUGCUGCUACUUGCUGUCGUUCAUCUUCAUCGCCGUCGCCCCGCGCACGACCGAUUCCAAGCUGGUGACCAGCCUCCCCGGCUUCGACGGCCGCCUCCCCUUCCGCCUCCACACUGGGUACGUGGAGGUGGACCCGGGCACGGAGCUCUUCUACUACUUCGUCGAGUCGGAGGCCGGCGGCGAGGGCAACCCUUUCCUUCUCUGGCUCACCGGCGGCGACCGCUGCUCCGCCUUCAGCGGCCUCGCCUACGAGAUCGGUCCCGUCAGGUUCGUCCUGCAGCCCUACAAUGGCAGCUUACCACGCCUGCACAUCAACCCAAACUCAUGGACAAAGGUGGCACACAUCUUGUUCGUCGAUUCGCCGGUCGGUGCUGGAUUUUCCUUUUCCAAGCAACCCAAGGGAUACGAGGUCGGGGAUGUGUCCUCCUCGUUGCAGCUCCAUAACUUCCUCAUCAAGUGGUUCAGCGACCACCCCACAUACCUGAAAAAUCCUUUCUAUAUCGGUGGAGAUUCCUAUGCCGGAAAACUUGUGCCAUAUAUCGCACACAUCAUUUCACAAGGUAUUGAAGCAGGAAAUAGUCCCCACAUUAAUCUUAAGGUACCACAAUGACAUAAUCAUCGCUGGUUGUUUUAGCGAUAACACUAAGUAUCAUAAGUCAUUAUCAUAUACUCCCUCCGUUUCAAAUUACUCGUCGCUGAAAUGGAUGUAUCUAGAACUAAAAUACAUCUAGAUACAUCCAUACGUGCGACAAGUAAUUCGGAACGGAGGGAGUAUGUAUGUUUGUUGAUUUCAGGGAUAUCUAGUAGGCAACCCAUCGACUGGUGAAAGCAUCGAUAUAAGCUCUAAAGUGCCAUAUGCUCACGGAGUUGGUAUAAUAUCAGAUCAAUUAUAUGAGACCAUAUUGGGGCAUUGCCAAGGACAGGACUACAUGUUUCCGACAAAUGAUUUGUGCGCCCAAGCUCUGGAUGAUUUCAAUCAUCUUUUGUCCGAAGUUCAGCAGGCCCAAAUUUUGUUGGACACCUGCGUUUUUGCGUCCACUCCAGCCCGGCCAGAAGCUGAUAGUGGGACCGAGUACUCGGGUGGUGCUGGUAGGAGGAUCCUAGUUGGAAAUCCACCACCUCGCCCUCCAUUUGGAUGUGUUACUUACAAGUACUACCUAUCGUAUUUCUGGGCAAACGCGGAGGUGACCCGAAAUGCUCUUGGGAUCAAGGAGGGGAGCGUGGGGGAGUGGGUGAGGUGCCACAACGCCGAUCUGCCCUACACAAUCGACCUCAGGAGCAGCAUUGAGUACCACCGGAACGUCACGGCCAAUGGUGGCUACCGUGCGCUUGUAUACAGCGGCGACCAUGACGCAGUGGUGCCGCACCUGGGGACACAGGCGUGGAUCAGGUCACUUGGCUUCCCUGUCGCCCACCAUUGGAGGGCAUGGCAUCUCCAUGGCCAGUCUGCUGGGUUCACCUUAACUUACUCCAACAACAUGACAUUCGCAACCAUCAAGGGUGGCGGGCACACCGCGCCGGAGUACGAGCCCGAGAGGUGCUUCGCCAUGUUCAGCCGAUGGAUACUCGACAAACAACUCUAGUACUCCUAACAGCCACGAUCAAGUAGAGAAGGAGGCAAGCCAGACGAUCAGAGUAUUGGGUACCUCCCCACUCCACUAUUCAGUGGUUUCGCCUACAUAUCAACUAUACUGCCUGGCAAUAUAGUUCGUACUAGAACAUAUAGGCGCGCGAUGCCCUCCGUCUAUAUUGGAGAAAAACACUUAAUAUAUUUUAGAAAAUACGGAUACUACAAAUAUCUUGUUAAGUAUGGUACAGAUAUAUGAGACAAAGAAAAUUCUAAGAAGAUACAAUAAAUCUGCAUUUUGGUGCAGCAGACAGAUUUUACAAAUGCAGGGUUCAGAGGGAUCACACCGAUGCUAUUGCUAUGUGUUAGGAUUUAAUUAAUCCUAUUAAUCCAUGCUUAAGGAAUAGAUCGCGGUUGCCAUAUGGAAACCGACGUUUUCCUAGCGCCUUCUGGAACAGACACCUUUUCACUUGGUGUCUUUUGUAACUCUAUAUAUAGAUGUAUUCAUCAUCAAUAAAGAUUACCCCGAUUCAUUU
rnacentral:rRNA from 1 species